rnacentral:miRNA from 1 species
AAUGAACUAUACCCACUUAAAUUGAAUUUUGGAUAAACAAUAAAUUUUUUUAGUAUAAGUAUUUUCCACUCAACAUUUGGGAUAUACUUAUGCUAAAAAAUUAUUUGUUGUUUGUCUGCAAUUCAAAUUUAAUUUUUUAUUUUUAUUU